AUUGAACGCUGGCGGCAGGCCUAACACAUGCAAGUCGAGCGGGGUUUUCGGACCUAGCGGCGGACGGGUGAGUAAUGCGUAGGAAGCUGCCCGAUAGAGGGGGAUACCAGUUGGAAACGACUGUUAAUACCGCAUAAUGUCUACGGACCAAAGUGUGGGACCUUCGGGCCACAUGCUAUCGGAUGCGCCUACGUGGGAUUAGCUAGUUGGUGAGGUAAUGGCUCACCAAGGCGACGAUCUCUAGCUGGUUUGAGAGGAUGAUCAGCCACACUGGAACUGAGACACGGUCCAGACUCCUACGGGAGGCAGCAGUGGGGAAUAUUGGACAAUGGGCGCAAGCCUGAUCCAGCCAUGCCGCGUGUGUGAAGAAGGCCUUCGGGUUGUAAGGCACUUUCAACGAGGAGGAAGGGUGGUGUGUUAAUAGCACAUCAUUUUGACGUUACUCGCAGAAGAAGCACCGGCUAACUCUGUGCCAGCAGCCGCCGUAAAAC
rnacentral:rRNA from 1 species